rnacentral:rRNA from 1 species
CGGCAGCACGGGAGCAAUCCUGGUGGCGAGUGGCGAACGGGUGAGUAAUAUAUCGGAACGUGCCCAGNUCGUGGGGGAUAACGCAGCGAAAGCUGUGCUAAUACCGCAUACGAUCUACGGAUGAAAGCGGGGGAUCGCAAGACCUCGCGCGAUUGGAGCGGCCGAUAUCAGAUUAGCUAGUUGGUGGGGUAAAGGCCCACCAAGGCGACGAUCUGUAGCUGGUCUGAGAGGACGACCAGCCACACUGGAACUGAGACACGGUCCAGACUCCUACGGGAGGCAGCAGUGGGGAAUUUUGGACAAUGGGCGCAAGCCUGAUCCAGCAAUGCCGCGUGCAGGAUGAAGGCCUUCGGGUUGUAAACUGCUUUUGUACGGAACGAAACGGCUUCUUCUAAUAAAGGGAGCUAAUGACGGUACCGUAAGAAUAAGCACCGGCUAACUACGUGCCAGCAGCCGCGGUAAUACGUAGGGUGCGAGCGUUAAUCGGAAUUACUGGGCGUAAAGCGUGCGCAGGCGGUUAUAUAAGACAGAUGUGAAAUCCCCGGGCUCAACCUGGGACCUGCAUUUGUGACUGUAUAGCUAGAGUACGGUAGAGGGGGAUGGAAUUCCGCGUGUAGCAGUGAAAUGCGUAGAUAUGCGGAGGAACACCGAUGGCGAAGGCAAUCCCCUGGACCUGUACUGACGCUCAUGCACGAAAGCGUGGGGAGCAAACAGGAUUAGAUACCCUGGUAGUCCACGCCCUAAACGAUGUCANCUGGUUGUUGGGUCUUCACUGACUCAGUANNGAAGCUACGCGUGAAGUUGACCCCCUGGGGAGUACGGCCCCANGUUGAACUCAAGGAAUUGACGGGNACCNCACAAGCGUGA